ACAUCCAGCGAACUUGGCAGAGAUGCCUUGGUGGCCCUUCGGGAACGCUGAGACAGGUGCUGCAUGGCUGUCGUCAGCUCGUGUUGUGAAAUGUUGGGUUAAGUCCCGNAACGAGCGCAACCCUUUAUCCUUUGUUGCCAGCGAUUCGGUCGGGAACUCAAAGGAGACUGCCGGUGAUAAACCGGAGGAAGUGGGGAUGACGUCAAGUCAUCAUGGCCCUUACGAGUAGGGCUACACACGUGCUACAAUGGCGCAUACAAAGAGAAGCGACCUCGCGAGAGCAAGCGGACCUCAUAAAGUGCGUCGUAGUCCGGAUCGGAGUCUGCAACUCGACUCCGUGAAGUCGGAAUCGCUAGUAAUCGUGGAUCAGAAUGCCACGGUGAAUACGUUCCCGGGCCUUGUACACACCGCCCGUCACACCAUGGGAGUGGGUUGCAAAAGAAGUAGGUAGCUUAACCUUCGGGAGGGCGCUUACCACUUUGUGAUUCAUGACUGGGGUGAAGUCGUAACAAGGUAGGCGUAGCGAG
rnacentral:rRNA from 1 species